rnacentral:lncRNA from 1 species
CUCGCUCCCCGGAGCCGGUCGGAGCGGCUCUGCCGCCUGCAGCCCCGCCGCUCCCUCCCGCGCUGGCGGCGGGCGCAGGGGGCUCGGACCCUGCCAAAGGCCAGAGGUAGAUUGACCGGGCGGCUUCCAGCAGCAGCGGCCGGGGAGACAGCUGCCGCGAGGGUUCACCUGCCCGCUCUCCGUUUCCUCUUCCUCGUCCUCACCCGGCCCCACCGGAGCCCCGCACAGCCAAUGAACACAGAUGUUGGGGUUCCCUUGGUAUCCAUGGCCUGCCGACUGUGAUGGUGACGUUCUGUCCCUGUGAUUUGAUGCACUUCGGUGAUGGUAAUCUGAAGUAAGCACCACCAGCUGAAUGAGUACAGGAAAGGAUCUCAAAUAGGUGGGAACGUGGAAAGGCAGCAGCAUCUUCAGGCAGGUUGCCAGUGAUACAAAAGACCAAAUGCUUUCACCUGGGGCAGAGAUACUGGGAGAUGAAAAGGAAUUAUACCAGAAAUCUUCCAAGAAAAUUAAGGUUUGAAGACAGAGAUCAGAAAAGGAUGGACCGAGAUGGAUGUGGUGAAAAGGGUACCAGUAGAAUGACAGGUAAUUUUUCCUGGUGCUUCUUUCUUAAACCCUUCUCUGAACCUGCUGUUUUGCAGAUAUGAUUGUCUGCUUCAG